GGGUCAGUAGGUUGGUCGUGCCACCGGUACGUACUGGUCUCACUGAUUCCUCCUUCCUGAAGAACCGUAAUGCCACUAAUUUGGUGUUGCGGGGAAACAGGACUGUUACUUUGGAAAAAUUAGAGUGUUUAAAGCAAGCUAACGCUUGAAUACAUUAGCAUGGAAUAAUGAAAUAGGACGAUCGAUCCUAUUUUGUUGGUUUCUAGGAUUGACGUA
rnacentral:rRNA from 1 species